rnacentral:misc_RNA from 1 species
AACGCACCUUGCGCCCCUUGGUAUUCCGAGGGGCAUGCCUGUUUGAGUGUCGCGUUAAUCCCUCACCCCCCUCCGACUCCGGUCGGCUCGGGUCGGUGGACUUGGACCGUGCUGCGGGUUCCGCCCGCGGCUCGUCUUGAAAUGCAUCGGCCGCUGCGAUCGGGCCCCUCCCGUGGUGUGAUAGUUGUCAUCGCCGCUUGGGGACCCGUCCGCGUGUGCCUCGUCGCCCCCUUUCGGGCAGCAGCUCUUUUGCGCUUUGACCUCAAAUCAGGUAGGACUACCCGCUGAACUUAA